UGCUCUUAGUGUGCGACUAUUCAUAUGCAUAGUAGUUUAUCCAUUUAUUUAAAUCUGCUAUAAAGCUUAACGUACCAUCAUAUGCGCCACUUACAUUCGUUACAUAAUCGGUGGUGGCUGAGCUGUUAAUGGCCUGAAGAAGGUGUGUGUAUGUUUGUGUACCUUCUACACUGCAAACAUGAAAGAGUGCAGACAUUAUCUCCUCUGCCUUCUUCCUACGCGCACACACACACACUAUUUGUCUUUGUGUAUGCUAGACAGCAGAUGGGAGCCCAUUAUAGGGCUGACGGAGCAGUCAUCUGGCAGGCACCCUGCCCCUCCUCCCCCUCUCCCCCCAUUCAUUCCCCCAAAGACACCCCAGCGCAGCUCAGCAGGCACGGGACACUUUUAGGCGGGAGACUCCAUAGCGCUGUGUGUGUGUGUGUGUGUGUGUGUGUGUGUGUGUGUGUGUGUGUGUGUGUGUGUUAAAGUUGGACCCUGUUCUGCCUUAUAUAGGUCAGCCUGUGUCACUGCCUUGUGAGGUAAGUCAGACUCUCAUUUGACUGAGGCAACACCUUCUUCGAGCGUGUGACUUCAUUUCUAAUGGUUCACAUCACUAACUUACUAACAAAAGCAAAACGAGGGACGUAUGUCUUUAUUUGCCUUUCAUUCCCCUUGUGCACACAUUGGAUAUUCUCAAUGUCUCUUUUACCUUAUUAAUGUUCCUUAUUUGCAUCAUUUGCAGUCUUCCGCUGAGAUGUGCCUCCCAAACAGGGGCCCCAGUGUGACUGCCUCCUACAGCUUUUAUUACAAAGGAUUAUAUGACAGUGAAUAUCAAACAGUGGAGGAGGAGGAGGAGGAGGGUGCUUCAGCCGUGCAGGUCAAGGCCAAGGUUACAGGCAGGUUUGAUGGUGUCCUCUGCAAGGAGGUAAUCUACAGCCCGCCCUUCAGAGACAGUCCAAUGGGACGUGGGAGGGAGGCACCACAGAAGAAGACUCCAACGCGACUUGUGAGAGCUGCUUUGGCGUCGCUGGGGCAACCUACACAAUCCGUGUUGCAGCGACGAGCCUUUCAGCAGGCCUCAAUCACACUUCCCUUCCCUUGGGAGAGUUUUUUCUUUCCUGCAGCACAGUUAAAUAGGAGAGAGGCCCAGCGCGUUCAAAGGACAGACAACCGGAGCUGGAGUAUGAGCAGCUCCGUCGCUCGGCCGCCGGCCUUCCUGCAGCAGGCCCUCCACGGCGGCCGCAUCUGGGCCACCGCCACACGCAGAGGGAGACCCCUCAGUCGCUCUCAAAGGCCCCGUUGGUGGCGCCCUGGCGGUCGCUCUUUUUCCGGCACUUGGACAGAAUCCUGUGGAGCAGGCUGGGGGAUCUGUGCGUCGGAGCCUGGGAGGCCGCGGGCUGAGGCACCGGGGGCCUCCGCACCAGAAAGGGGCCCUCGCUCCCACCCCGGCCCCCUUCCGGCCCCGCGCCGCCACCCCCUCGGCUCCCCCUCCUGA
rnacentral:lncRNA from 1 species